GACGAACGCUGGCGGCGUGCCUAACACAUGCAAGUCGAGCGGGGAGGAGGAAGCUUGCUUCCGAAUCCUAGCGGCGGACGGGUGAGUAACGCGUGAGCAAUCUGCCUCUUACAGGGGGAUAACGCAUCGAAAGAUGUGCUAAUACCGCGUAAGACCACAGCACCGCAUGGUGCAGGGGUCAAAGGAGCAAUCCGGUAAGAGAUGAGCUCGCGUCCGAUUAGCUAGUUGGCGGGAUAACAGCUCACCAAGGCGACGAUCGGUAGCCGACCUGAGAGGGUGAUCGGCCACAUUGGAACUGAGAUACGGUCCAG
rnacentral:rRNA from 1 species